rnacentral:rRNA from 1 species
CUCAGGAUGAACGCUAGCGGCAGGCUAACACAUGCAAGUCGAGGGGCAUCGGGAGUAGCAAUACUGCCGGCGACCGGCGCAAGGGUGCGUAACGCGUGAGCAACAUGCCCGUAUCAGGGGGGAUAAUCCAUGGAAACGUGGUCUAAUACCCCAUAGUAAUUAUGUAAGGCAUCUUAUAUAAUUUAAAGCUUUGGUGGAUACGGAUUGGCUCGCGUGGCAUUAGCUAGAUGGUAAGGUAACGGCUUACCAUGGCUACGAUGUCUAGGGGUUCUGAGAGGAAGGUCCCCCACACUGGAACUGAGACACGGUCCAGACUCCUACGGGAGGCAGCAGUGAGGAAUAUUGGACAAUGGAUGGAAAUCUGAUCCAGCCAUGCCGCGUGCAGGAAGAACCGGCCCUAUGGGUUGUAAACUGCUUUUGUAUGGGAGCAAUAAGGGCUACGCGUAGUCCGAUGAGAGUACCAUACGAAUAAGCACCGGCUAACUCCGUGCCAGCAGCUGC